rnacentral:rRNA from 1 species
GAGUGAAGCGGCAAAAGCUCAAAUUUGAAAUCUGGCACUUUCAGUGUCCGAGUUGUAAUUUGAAGAAGGUAUCUUUGGGUCUGGCUCUUGUCUAUGUUUCUUGGAACAGAACGUCACAGAGGGUGAGAAUCCCGUGCGAUGAGAUGUCCCAGACCUAUGUAAAGUUCCUUCGAAGAGUCGAGUUGUUUGGGAAUGCAGCUCUAAGUGGGUGGUAAAUUCCAUCUAAAGCUAAAUAUUGGCGAGAGACCGAUAGCGAACAAGUACAGUGAUGGAAAGAUGAAAAGAACUUUGAAAAGAGAGUGAAAAAGUACGUGAAAUUGUUGAAAGGGAAGGGCUUGAGAUCAGACUUGGUAUUUUGUAUGUUACUCUCUCGGGGGUGGCCUCUACAGUUUACCGGGCCAGCAUCAGUUUGAGCGGUAGGAUAAGUGCAAAGAAAUGUGGCACUGCUUCGGUAGUGUGUUAUAGUCUUUGUCGAUACUGCCAGCUUAGACUGAGGACUGCGGCUUCGGCCUAGGAUGUUGGCAUAAUGAUCUUAAGUCGCCCGUCUUGAAACACGGACCAAGGAGUCUAACGUCUAUGCGAGUGUUUGGGUGUAAAACCCGUACGCGUAAUGAAAGUGAACGUAGGUAGGACCUCCUUUAGGAGUGCACUAUCGACCGAUCCUGAUGUCUUCGGAUGGAUUUGAGUAAGAGCAUAGCUGUUGGGACCCGAAAGAUGGUGAACUAUGCCUGAAUAGGGUGAAGCCAGAGGAAACUCUGGUGGAGGCUCGUAGCGGUUCUGACGUGCAAAUCGAUCGUCGAAUUUGGGUAU